rnacentral:rRNA from 1 species
CCAAUAGCGUAUAUUAAAGUUGUUGCAGUUAAAAAGCUCGUAGUUGAAUUUCGGGAUCAAUGUUUCGGUCAUGCCGUUGGUAUGUACUGAUAUUAUUGGUUUCUCACCUUCUAAAGAACCGUAAUGCCAUUAAUUUGGUGUCACGGGGAAUUAGGACUGUUACCUUGAAAAAAUUAGAGUGUUUAAAGCAGGCUCACGCUUGAAUACAUUAGCAUGGAAUAAUGAAAUAGGACAUCCGAUUCUAUUUUGUUGGUUUCUAGGAUCGAUGUAAUGAUUAAUAGGGAUAGUUGGGGGCAUUAGUAUUCAAUUGUCAGAGGUGAAAUUCUUGGAUUUAUUGAAGACUAACUACUGCGAAAGCAUUUGCCAAGGAUGUUUUCAUUAAUCAAGAACGAAAGUUAGGGGAUCGAAGACGAUCAGAUACCGUCGUAGUCUUAACCAUAAACUAUGCCGACUAGGGAUCGGAUGAUGUUAAUUUUAUAAUGACUCAUUCGGCACCUUACG